rnacentral:RNase_P_RNA from 1 species
GAAGUCAGCCGGGCAGUCGCUGCAUGUUCAUGCAUGCAGAGGAAAGUCCGGGCACCGAAGGGCAGGAUGCCGGCUAACGGCCGGGCGUCGCAAGGCGACGGAAAGUGCAACAGAAAGAUACCGCCUCGAAUCCGCGGCCGGGCGCAUCCUCGAUGCGCGACAGGUCCGCCUCACGAAGGGAAGUGCUUCGACGGAUUCCGGGCAAGGGUGAAAUAGUGCCGGGCAUCGAAGGAUGUCCGGGCGGCGCAACGAGGCGCGCCGUCGGUAAGAGCGCACUCCUCCGGCGGUAACGACCGGAGGCGGCAAACCCCAUCCGGUGCAAGACCAAAUAGGGGGGCGAUGACGUGGCCCGCGUCGCUCCCGGGUAGGUUGCUAGAGGCCGCGAGCAAUCGCGGUCCCAGAGGAAUGACUGCUCAGGGGCGCAAGCCCUGGACAGAACCCGGCUUACAGGCUGACUUCGCUU